GGCUCCGUGGUGCAACGGUAGCACGUCUGUUAAAUGUUCACCAUCUCCCAGAUAAGCCGAUGAUCCUUGUUCGACUCAGGGCUGAGCCA